UUUCUACCCUUUUUUUUCCCAAUCUCACCAAUGAACAAGACACUCAAUGAUUUUCACUCACCAAGGUGUUUACAAUGUUUCCCAACCCAAGAGAACUCUAAUCAAAGACCCUAAACCCUAAAGUUGCUUCCUUUGAUUUCCCAAGUUUCUCUCUCUUCAAGCUCUCCUUCAAAAUCUGCAAAGAACACUUAUAUAGCUGUCUUCUGCGUCAAAAUC
rnacentral:lncRNA from 1 species